rnacentral:rRNA from 1 species
CAAAGGGCUAACGGUGGAUACCUAGGCACGCUGAGGCGAAGAAGGACGCGGUGACCGGCGAAACGCUCCGGGGAGCUGGAAACAAGCAUCGAUCCGGAGGUGUCCGAAUGGGGCAACCCCAAGAACGGCCGUCUGAAUCUAUAGGGCGGCACGAGCCAACCGAGCAAACUGAAACAUCUUAGUAGCUCGAGGAAAAGAAAGCAAAAGCGAUUCCCUUAGUAGCGGCGAGCGAAACGGGACGAGCCUAAACCAGAGGUUUUCACCUCUGGGGUUGUGGGACGGUCAUCAGAGAAGGGAAAGAUUAGACGAAGCGAUUGAAAGUCGCACCAAAGAAGGUGAAAGUCCUGUAGUCGAAAAUCGGAACCACUCGACCGUAUCCCGAGUAGCACGGGGCACGUGAAAUCCCGUGUGAAUCAGCGAGGACCACCUCGUAAGGCUAAAUACUCCAGCGUGACCGAUAGCGAAACAGUACCGCGAGGGAAAGGUGAAAAGAACCCCGGGAGGGGAGUGAAAUAGAACAUGAAACCGUUAGCUUACAAGCAGUGGGAGGACGAUUGAACGUCUGACCGCGUGCCUGUUGAAGAAUGAGCCGGCGAGUGAUAGGUCGUGGCGGGUUAAGGCGAGAAUGCCGAAGCCAAAGCGAAAGCGAGUCCGAACAGGGCGUUAGUCACGGGUUAUCGACCCGAACCCGGGCGAUCUAACCAUGUCCAGGAUGAAGCUUGGGUAACACCAAGUGGAAGUCCGAACCGACCGAUGUUGAAAAAUCGGCGGAUGAGGUGUGGUUAGGGGUGAAAUGCCAAUCGAGCCCGGAGCUAGCUGGUUCUCCCCGAAAUGCGUUUAGGCGCAGCGAUUGCCGAAAAAGCUGUGGGGGUAAAGCACUGUUUCGGUGCGGGCUGCGAAAGCGGUACCAAAUCGAGGCAAACUCUGAAUACCACAGUGAAAGCAGUCAGUGAGACGGUGGGGGAUAAGCUUCAUCGUCAAGAGGGAAACAGCCCAGACCACCAGCUAAGGCCCCCAAGUGGCAACUAAGUGAUAAAGGAGGUGGGAGUGCCGAGACAACCAGGAGGUUUGCCUAGAAGCAGCCAUCCUCGAACGAGUGCGUAAUAGCUCACUGGUCAAGCGCUCCCGCGCCGAAAACGAACGGGGCUAAGUUGCCCGCCGAAGCUGUGGACUCUACGGAGUGGUAGGGGAGCGUUCUGUUUUGGGUGAAGCACUAGCGGCAAGCAGGUGUGGACGGAACAGAAGUGAGAAUGUCGGCUUGAGUAGCGAAAAUAUGUGUGAGAAUCACAUACCCCGAAAACCCAAGGGUUCCUCCGGCAGGCUCGUCCGCGGAGGGUUAGUCAGGACCUAAGGCGAGGCCGAAAGGCGUAGUCGAUGGACAACGGGUUAACAUUCCCGUACCGUAACGGACUGGUAGAGGGGGACGGAGUAGGCUAAGCCAGCCGGGUGAUGGUAGUCCCGGUUCAAGCGUGCGAAGGUGAUGAAGGGUGGCGAAAACACCCCGAGCUAAGCCGUGAGUACGACUGACUACGGUCGGGAAGUGGUGUAUGUCAGACUUCCAAGAAAAGCCCGAACUACUGUAAAUCCGUUAUGCCUGUACCCGAAACCGACACAGGUGGGUAGGUUGAGUAAACCUAGGGGCGCGAGGUAACUCUCUCUAAGGAACUCGGCAAAAUGGCCCCGUAACUUCGGGAGAAGGGGUGCCACCGAGAGGUGGUCGCAGUGAAGAGGCCCAGGCGACUGUUUACCAAAAACACAGGUCUCCGCGAAGUCGCAAGACGAUGUAUGGGGGCUGACGCCUGCCCAGUGCCGGAAGGUUAAGGAAGCCGGUCAGUCAAUUGAUGAAGCUGGCGACCGAAGCCCCGGUGAACGGCGGCCGUAACUAUAACGGUCCUAAGGUAGCGAAAUUCCUUGUCGGGUAAGUUCCGACCCGCACGAAAGGCGUAACGAUCUGGGCGCUGUCUCGGAGAGAGGCUCGGCGAAAUAGGAUUGUCUGUGAAGAUACGGACUUCCUGCACCUGGACAGAAAGACCCUAUGAAGCUUUACUGUAGCCUGGCAUUGGGUUCGGGCUUGAUUUGCGCAGGAUAGGUGGGAGGCUAUGAAGGUUUCCUUGUGGGGAAACCCGAGCCAUCGGUGAGAUACCACUCUAAUCAAGCUAGAAUUCUAACCUCGACCCGUCAUCCGGGAGGGGGACAGUUUCAGGUGGGCAGUUUGACUGGGGCGGUCGCCUCCUAAAAGGUAACGGAGGCGCGCAAAGGUUCCCUCAGGCUGGUUGGAAAUCAGCCGCAGAGUGCAAAGGCAGAAGGGAGCUUGACUGCGAGACGGACAAGUCGAGCAGGGUGGAAACACGGCCUUAGUGAUCCGACGGCUCUGAGUGGAAGGGCCGUCGCUCAACGGAUAAAAGUUACUCUAGGGAUAACAGGCUGAUCUCCCCCAAGAGUUCACAUCGACGGGGAGGUUUGGCACCUCGAUGUCGGCUCAUCGCAACCUGGGGCGGAAGUACGUCCCAAGGGUUCGGCUGUUCGCCGAUUAAAGCGGUACGUGAGCUGGGUUCAGAACGUCGUGAGACAGUUCGGUCCAUAUCCGGUGCAGGCGCAAGAGAAUUGAGAGGAGCCUUCCUUAGUACGAGAGGACCGGGAAGGACGCACCGCUGGUGUACCUGUUAUCGUGCCAACGGUAAACGCAGGGUAGCCAUGUGCGGAGCGGAUAACCGCUGAAAGCAUCUAAGUGGGAAGCCCACCUCAAGAUGAGUUCUCUGAUGGGGUUAACCCAGUAAGGUCACGGAAAGAACAUCCGUUAAUAGGCGUUAGGUGGAAGUGCAGUAAUGUAUGAAGCCGAGACGUACUAACAGACCGAGCACUUGACCU